UCUUCUUUAGGUUGUAAUUUCUACAUGGCACACAGCACACGUUGGGUAUCUCAGGACAAUUUUGGCCAGGCCUUUCUGAGCUGAGCAAGGGUGUAACAGAUACACUGUGAAGUACACUUUGUGUAGCUCCAACUUGGCUGAUUUGAAUUCUAUCCCUGUCUUUUCUGUUUAAUAAUGCAUAUGAGAUAUCCCUUCUUUCAACCUCAAGAUGAAAUAUGGAGAUGGAAAUGGUUUAAAAUGCUUUAAAUUGCUGAAACCUUGUGUGUGUAAGGUUAAAAAAAAAUGUAGAUAAAUAGUUCUGAGCAAACAAAUUAAAACUCUGCUGAGGUGGGAGGUGAGUGCCUUAGGAGACAAACAUGUACUGCGGCAGGUAGCCAGGGCUGCAAGACCAAGUGCUCUCCCACCCCAGCCACUAAGCCACAGCACACAGCCAAGGCAUCAGAAGCACUGCAUAAAGCCAUUUUGGUUCUAGCAGGAUUUCACUGCAUCUCCAGUUACUGUCAUUUUAUUUUGCAAUCAUCCUUUUUUUCUUAUCUCACAGAGUGUUUUCAGUCUUUUAGGACUCGUGCAGGAAUGGACCUGGAUUGAAAACUUGCCCAUGUCAAUUCACAAAAAUCACUUCUUGCUUCUGGAUCAGCUGCUUGGGCCUGUUGUGCUGGACUGAACCAGCCCAUGGGAAGUGGAUAAAUGCUGCUUUGUCUGGAACAAAAGUGGGCUGACUUCAUCUACGUGCAUUUAUUCUACAUUGCAUUAGCGUGUGAGAUUCUGGACCAAGCCUGAGCACGGUUCCAGUGACAAGCUGCCCAGAGCUGCAGGGUGUUCAGCACGUCCACACUGAAUUGCUCCCAUCUCUUCAUUUGUCACAGACCACACGUAAUCAGAAGAUUUCUGCAUGUGACACCACACCAAACUGCAGUUCUGCUGCCCUGGAUGGUCUCUCAGAGCAGCCUUCACCAGGCUGUCAUUGCAUCUUUGCCACCAGAACAUCAUCCACGAUGAUUCAACUUCUUAAGAAUCCUGUUUGUGCCUCUUUCUGCUGCACAGGAAGGAGAAGUUGGGACAUCUUCCCACCAACUUCCAACAUCCUUGUCAGAGCAGAAGUUCACGGUGGAACAAACCUUACUCUGCCUUCUGUGACUAUUCCCAUCAUACUGGAGACUGUCAACGUUCACCUUCUGCUUGACAGCAGGGAAAAAAAGGUUGGGGUAUUUAGGGCAUGCACUUCUAUGCCUGUAAAAUUUGCUCUCAACAGUCUACAGUCGGGAUUACAAAUGCCAAAUAAUAAUAAUAUCUCUACUACUUUUAGAUAUUGAUCCCUUAAUCUACCCUGUGAAAAAAAAAUAACAAUUACUGUAAAGAAUAUUGGAGAUUACAGCUAAACCUCAGGAGCCUUCUAGAUACAGCAGCCGAUUGGGAGACUGGCUUAUCUUCUGACUCAUAACCCAAACAAGCUCCUGAAUGUGCACUGUACAUGGGAAUAGAUGAGAAUGCUCUGGAGGAACAGAGCCAGGAAGAACAGUACUGAAGGUAGAUAAGGUCAGACCAAUUCUGGUAAUACAGGCUAAUUAGUAAAUCAGCAAUGGAGUGUUUCAAUAAUGUAGGCUGCACUGCAUCAAAAAAAGGAGAGACAGAAUGUACCAAGUGUCUUAGGGGAUGGAAAAACCCCAGAGGGAUGAAGUCAGCACUACUGAAGAAUUACCUAUACUUAACUGUUGAAGGGCUGGGAAUGUGACCCGUCUCAGACAGUUUUAUUCACUCAGCACUUUUUCACUGUGGAGACAAAAAAGAUUCAGAGUGGAGUCUACCUGGAAAAAGAGGGGCUGAAUGAUGUUUUGCGUUAAAAGGACAUAGCUGAUCUUGGACACAAGAUUAGCCAGGAAGCUAACAUCACAGCUAAAGCUCUGGGCUCACUUAGAAGAGAUUUUUCAAGUCUAAAGAAAGAAAGAGGACAUUUAAGCAUUUGUAAAUGCAAGCUGACAUGUUCUAUUGCAACGAAGAGGAUAAAUAUUAAUGUCAUUGUCUGAAGAAAGAUAAAUUAUACAAGUUACAUCAUGAAUCCAUAUGAGAUCUGAAACCAAACAUUUUUAAGAGUAAAAAUAUACUACUAAAAGAGAAUUUCCAACAAAAAUUAAGUGAAACAGUAAUUAACAAGUCAUUUGUCUUUGCCUUGCAAGUCUGCUUGACUUUGCAGAGGAUAGCAAAAUUUCCUUUGCUUUAGAUUGCAGUGGCAUUUUUGCGAAGCCCUCACAGGUGAAUGAUCCCUGUCAUACGGCUGCUCAGACCCAUGUCUGUAAAGUAAGAAAGACAGGCGUCCAUUAAGAGGUGACUCUUGCAUAUGUAUGGAGUCACUGGGAGAGGCUGAUUUCACUAUGAUACCACCUGCUUUGAGUUCUUGCAGCAUCACAGACAUGCAGUGGUGCUCAUCCUUCAUAUCACUGCCACUGGGGUGAGAGCUGCAGGUCCUGUUUCUAGAGCAAGAACCCAGUGGCUGAUCACGGCUCUGUGCUAAGGAGUAGUAAAAUGUCUGUCUCUUCUCCUAGAAAUUCAUAUUUCUUUCUCAUCAGAAAGACAGGCUAGAAAGUCCUGGAGACAAGGAAGUCCAUGCUGAGUAAAGAGCUAAUGAAAUGGUGAGAUUACAAACAGUAGAAGGAGCUCAGAAGGAACAGGUAUGAGUGACAGGAUUUUAGAAUGAUCUGUUCAAAGCUCUUUGUUUUGGGGGGUUUUGGUUUUGUUCUUCUUGGUUUUCUUUAUUUUAUUUUGUUUUGUUUUGUUUUGUUUUGCUUUUAUUUAUUUGCUUUUAGUAGUACCUAUGUAACAUCAACUAUCAAUAAACAGGUGAAAUAAGGAAACUUCUUCAUAAAGAUCCUCAGCCUUCAUUCAUUCUCAAACCACUAAACAUUCUUGAGACUUCCGCUUCUGCUCCAGCUAACCCAGAAAGUCAGAACACAGUUCCCAGUGUUUUUAGUACAGUAAAUCUGCAGACCCUUUUUAAGCUACCCCCUACCUCUUCUCCCCCUCUUCUUGCCUAUAGCAGUGCUACGUGGCCUUUCCCUUAAAAUUUAUAGGCAGUUUAGACCUAUAUAAAUCAAAUAGAUGCUAUCUAAAGCAGCCUUGGUUUGGAUUUUUUGUUGCAAAAUGGGAACAGGCUGCAAUAUGGGAACCCAUAUUUAAUACAGAAACAUGAAUUGAGAGGAACUGUUUUACAGUAUUGACCUAAUGUUGAUCUAUAUCAGAGUUGGCAGAGAGGGUUUUUUGAUUAGUUUUUUGAGGGAAAUUGAUGAUUUAUUGUCUCAUGGACACUGUCCUGAGCUUAGUAGACCAUUCAUUCAAAUAACUAGUGUGGAGAAAAUGUGUCAUUCCCAUUUUGCAAUGAGGCAAUAAAAGAUUUCAGUGGAAAAGCCUUUUUUUCAGAGCGUCCAAGGAUGACAAUAUUUGGGCAGCAGCUAAUCUAACCAGCUACAAGCUCUUGACUGUGAUGGGUGCUCCAAACUGGACCCUGGGGUUUUCCAGCUGUAAGAAUGCCUUCUUCUUAAUCUUCUUAAUCCUUUUUGAGGAAGUACUCACCAGCAGGUGAAAGGAGGUGAUGUGACAGCCAGCCUCUCUCCCUUUUUUCCACACACAUUUUGUAUUCAGGAUGCUAAGAAUAAACGUGUGACAAAAAGCUGCAAUGUGGAAUAAGUAGGAGGAUGUAAAUUUUGUAAAUUCCAGGAAGACUGAGUCAUAAGUUUCUCCCUGGGCAGCACUAUCAUUUGGAUGUCUACCUGCCAGCAAAAAGAAAAGCACAGAUUUAGAGCUGGAAAAUCAGAUUCAAAAGAACCGAUCUUCUCAAAUGAUAAGUUGAGAGUAAUAGCUGUUCAUGACAGUUGAGUUCUGAUGCUUACGGACACAUUUUGGGUAGAUCUAUAGAGCCUUUAAGGAUUCAUAAAGGGAGCCUGUGGCCUCUGAUCAGCUGUUGAGGAGUGACUCAUGCCCACACUCCUCAAGACCAGAACCGUUAGAGCAGACUGGCUGCAGCAGAAUUUAAAACAAACCUUGUCUUGGUCUCAGUCCUAGAGCCCCCUGUAUUCAGUCAUCUUCAUGUCCCUUGAAGCACCAACUCCUCAUCAUCAGUACUGCACUCUGCAAAGAACCAUGACAGAGCACUUACUUAAAAAAAAUGGCCCUAUAUUCCCUGUAGAACUAAUCAUCAGCCUGUUGUCACCUCAUCUAUACCUGCAGUUCUUGGCACAUGAUGGUGGAAGGCCUUCAUGGGGAUGACUUCACCUUGAUGGCUCCCUGACGUGAUAGGAUUGUCCUGGGUGAGAGUCACCUCCUGAGAGGGGGCAAUUCUGGCUUCCUAGAUCACUCCUGCUUUUAGUUUUUUCCCAGCACAUUCUGAUUUGCUAAACACCCUGUUCUGUGACUGCAACCUAUGACAGUCCUUUCCUCAUGUGAGGGAGGUUUAAGGUUAUGGACCCUAGCGUCUGUCAUUGUUGAUAGUGAAUAUAUAUGAAUCAGCCAGCAUUGGAUGCAAAAUUUAAAAGGCUAGAAGGCCACCUCUGUUGUGCCUGGUUUGAAGCUUAGAGUCCCUUGGAUUUCACAUCACCACACAUCAAAGCCUCCCUUCUGGAGGGACAUUGGUUUAAGAACUGAAAAUAUUUGUAGAUAUUUGUUAUUUGCAAUGCCACUCUGCAGAGGCUGUGUGCUCACAUGGUCCACAUCUGAUAGACUAUAUCAAGGUUUUGAAGACCCCUGCCCCACAGUUCUCCUUUUCGGAUCCUUUUUUCUCUCCUUGAUCAGCUUCAUGUCCACAUUCCUAUCAGUUGGCCAUAGGAAGACAGCCCUGUUCAGUUGCUACUUGUAACUCUGCCCUAGAACAAACUGAACCACACUCAACCAGGCUGAGCUUCCACAUGCCCAAGAAGUUUUGCUCUCUCUCUGGAGCACUGUCUCUGCGGGGCUGUGGGAAAAUGAAGAUCCAGUGUUGAAGUGACUGUUUCCUCAAUUCCCACUCUUUAGCUCUAAGAGUUGAGGACACAGAGAUAGCAGCUAGACUCCUAGGUCUAUUGAGCUGAAGUCACAGGCCCAGUCCCAGACCAGAGAAACACUUCACUUACUGUAGGAGAGGUGAGCCAAUGAAGACCUUCUCAACAAAGGAAGAAUGCUGCUUGCACAUUUAUAUGGAGUUGCACCAGAAUUUUUGGUAUUCAACUUCUGAUAGGCAGAACGGCAUAGCUCACUGCAACACUUCCAGACUGUGCCGAGCUGCCAUGUCAUCUGGCGUGAGCCACCAGAAGAGUGGAAUCUGGAGAGGAUCUGGGAUGUCUUUGGCCUCUUCAUUCUCAAUCCAUCCUUCUGUACCACUGCAGUAGUGCUAGCUGUUCUUAGCAACCCAAGAGAAAACAGAUUGUUUGGCGAGAGAGGCCUGACAACAACCCACAGGCAUGAUAGUUUUAUUUCAGGAAGGCAGCACUGUGUCGUGAACACACUGAAUGUGGAGGAGCACAAGACCCCUAGAGAUAAUGUUGAAAGACUGUUGGACAGAAUGGUGAAACCUUGCACAGCCCACACCCACACUGGUUGUGUGGACAGUUUUGGGAGUGAAGUCUUCCUCAUCAGCUACUUUUGAGUUUUCACAUGGGAUAAACUAAUUGGUCCACAAGAAAAAGAUGAUUAGGUGCAAAUGAGCUUGUACACUGGGUGGGCAGUCAUCAGGGCAGGGCCAGUUCCACAGCAACUCAUGCAGACAUGCCUUCUUUAAUACCCUUCAUCCCUUGGAAAAUCUGGAGUUUCCAGUCUCUCAAAAGCAAGCAAUACCGUAACUGGAAAAACACCUUAGCUGUUCUUGCUUUGAACAUUCUUGCACAGGGAGUAAGAUGGAAAUAUUCCUUGCAGUGACUCAGUAGCAGUGCUUCUGAGCUAGCUCACUGUUCCAGCAGUUGAUUAACCUCCCAGAAGCCUAGCUGGCUGUCACAGACUGCAUGAACCACAGACCCUCACCAAGGCUGCUUCCUGUCCCCUGCUCCAGACUUUCCUGUAAUUACAUUUCCCAUUAUAAUUUCUUACCUUUCACUCGCAGCAAUGAGAGCUGCUCUAGAGUCCAGUGUCUGUGUGUGAAGACUCUCCAGCACUGCAUGGUGAGGUGCUUUUCUCCCAUGUUAGCUAAAGCCAGACCCUGCCCUU
ensembl:lncRNA